rnacentral:lncRNA from 1 species
AGAUGUUGUGGCUUACAAUAAACUUUUGCAUUGAAUUGCUUCUCUCAAUAGCAAAGACUCAAGUACUUCUGGGCAUGUACUCCUACUCAUCAAUAUUACCUAGCUUUGCAUCCAAAUGUAUCAGAGGAUCUUGAUUAGUCUCAUAAUUAGGAAGCUUGGACGAUCUAUUCGGCUAACAAUUUUUUUUCCGUCUUUACUUUAGUGAUACAAAGCUUAAUUUUUUUUUUUUUUUUUUUUUUUUUUUUUGGGCUUCACUUCCUAAAGGUGCAAGGUUUUGAUGUAUACUUCUCAGAAGUAUUCAUUUAACAAAUCAGAAUGUCAACUAAGUUGAUUCUAUUGAAUGCUUUUAAUAUUCUAAUUACUAUGUAGAAGAUUUAUGAAUCUUCUAACAAAGACUCAAAGGCACAUAAAUCAAUGGUGACUUCCUUUCAAUGGUAUUGAAGCAAUAAUUCCAAAAAAUAUUAUGUCUUUAGAACUUUUAAUUGUUGCAUCUAAGUAAAAGACAAAAUAAGAAUUAGAUUACGGUGCUAUUUGCUUGUAAUGCUAUAAGUAGAAUGUUGACUCUUGCUACUUGCACUUAACACCAAUGGCCAAAUCAACCAAUGCCAUGUCUCCA